rnacentral:rRNA from 1 species
CGCGGCCUAUCAGCUUGUUGGUGGGGUGAUGGCCUACCAAGGCUGCGACGGGUAGCCGGCCUGAGAGGGUGUCCGGCCACACUGGGACUGAGAUACGGCCCAGACUCCUACGGGAGGCAGCAGUGGGGAAUAUUGCACAAUGGGCGCAAGCCUGAUGCAGCGACGCCGCGUGGGGGAUGACGGCCUUCCGGUUGUAAACCUCUUUCACCAUCGACGAAGCCUUCGGGUGACGGUAGGUGGAGAAGAAGCACCGGCCAACUACGUGCCAGCAGCCGCGGUAAUACGUAGGGUGCGAGCGUUGUCCGGAAUUACUGGGCGUAAAGAGCUCGUGGGUGGUUUGUCGCGUUGUUCGUGAAAUGCCACAGCUUAACUGUGGGCGUGCGGGCGAUACGGGCAGACUGGAGUACUGCAGGGGAGACUGGAAUUCCUGGUGUAGCGGUGGAAUGCGCAGAUAUCAGGAGGAACACCGGUGGCGAAGGCGGGUCUCUGGGCAGUAACUGACGCUGAGGAGCGAAAGCGUGGGGAGCGAACAGGAUUAGAUACCCUGGUAGUCCACGCCGUAAACGGUGGGUACUAGGUGUGGGUUUCCUUCCUUGGGAUCCGUGCCGUAGCUAACGCAUUAAGUACCCCGCC